UCCCUGUUGGCUCAGAGGGUAAAGCGUCUGCCUGCAAUGCGGGAGACCCAGGUUCAAUCCCUGGGUCAGGAA
rnacentral:tRNA from 1 species